rnacentral:lncRNA from 1 species
GAAAGAUAAGAACAGUUGACUGUUUUCAACAAGCAAUUACAAAUGUACAAGGAGCUGGAUUUGCUAGUGUACCACUUGUGCUUUGAUGCACAACUUUGCAGGGAAACCAUCAGUGGCCAUGGAAGAAGUGCAGGCAGGGUACUUCUUCUCCUUCUCUCCAGCUGUCUCUGCAGGAAUGAACAGAGAGCCAAACUGAUUCCAUUGGAAUACAUCUGUCUGAAGACAGACUCUCUUGUCUUGGGACCAGAAAAACAUGUGGGUUAUCAUCAUUUGGAAUGCAACAUUAUGGAAAGCAGCAACCUGGUUGUUUUGAAUCGUUAAACGUAUUAUGUAUCUCCCCUCUCCAGUAAAGGAAUGAACCUAAGAACACACUGCUUGUCUGUGAGUACAUUGCUCAAGUCAAAGGAAUCACACCUGGUUAUUCAUGCCACCACAGAGAAUGCCCUCCGAUUGUUCCAUGGGUCACACACGUCACACUAAAUGUAUAGGUGUCACGGUUGUCGUAGGGUAAAGUGGACCAAGACGCAGCGGGGAAAUGUGUACUCAUCUUCUUUAUUAAAUGGGCAAAGAAGGUGAACCAAAACAAACACGUACACAACAAAAACACAACGACUAAUAACAGGCCGGUAAGGCAACAAAGCUAUACCCAGCACAAUCUCCCACAAAUACUAAAACAAAC